rnacentral:rRNA from 1 species
AAUGAACGCUGGCGGUGUGCUUAACACAUGCAAGUCGAACGAGAAAGUCCCUUCGGGGACUAGUAUAGUGGCGAACGGGUGCGUAACGCGUAAGAAUCUACCCUUUAGUGAAGAAUACCCUCGAGAAAUCGAGGUUAAUACUGCAUACGUCUCUACGGAGAGAAAGGUGGCCUCUUGCUACCGCUGAAGGAUGAGCUUGCGUACUAUUAGCUAGUUGGUGAGGUAAAUGCUCGACCAAGGCUUUGAUGGUUAGCCGGCCUGAGAGGGUGACCGGCCACAUUGGGACUGAGAUACGGCCCAGACUCCUACGGGAGGCUG